rnacentral:rRNA from 1 species
AACGCGAAGAACCUUACCUGGGCUCGAAAUGUACAGGACAGCGGUAGAAAUAUCGUCUCCCAGCAAUGGGUCUGUAUAUAGGUGCUGCAUGGCUGUCGUCAGCUCGUGUCGUGAGAUGUUGGGUUAAGUCCCGCAACGAGCGCAACCCUUAUCUCCAGUUGCUACCAUUUAGUUGAGCACUCUGGCGAAACCGCCUCGGAUAACGGGGAGGAAGGUGGGGAUGACGUCAAGUCCUCAUGGCCUUUAUGUCCAGGGCUACACACGUGCUACAAUGGCCGGUACAAACCGCUGCAACCCCGCGAGGGUGAGCUAAUCGGAAAAAGCCGGCCUCAGUUCGGAUUGGAGUCUGCAACUCGACUCCAUGAAGCUGGAAUCGCUAGUAAUCGUGGAUCAGCAUGCCACGGUGAAUACGUUCCCGGGCCUUGUACACACCGCGCAUA